ensembl:snRNA U6 U6 spliceosomal RNA
GUGCUCACUUCAUCAGCACAUACACUAAACUGAAACGAUACAGAGAUUAGCAUGGGCCCUGACGCACAAAUACGUGAAGCAUUCCAUAAAUUU